rnacentral:lncRNA from 1 species
ACAUCAAGUGCAAACAAAAUCCACCAUUGAAGCAUGCAAGGAGUUAGUUUCAAAUUGUCAGCUAAAAUCACCCGCUGGAUCCACACAUAAUUGUAUCAAGUUUCUGAACUUCCUAUACUAUUCAACAAAUCAAUUGAAUUGUCAAUUCCAGCAAGCAUUAUAGGAAAAUGAAAAGUGAAAACUGCACCAAAUAACUAAUGAUUUUCACACUAUAAUAAAAAAACAAACAAACACCAGUUGCUGCAGGUUUCUAAAACCUACAACAUUCAAGAAUGAACCAAUUCACCGAAUCAAAUACUAAAAUUUGCACCGAAAUUAGUGCUCUGUUUCAACAGCCCCAUGAUUGAAUCAAUUAUGCAACGAACCAGCACUCAGAUGCAAAUACACUAAUUACAAACAAGAUUAGAUGUGCACAAAUCCUUCUCCUUCGUCACUCGCAUUGAAAACAACACCACCGUACUCGCUUCCACCAUCUCUCCAACUUUCAACCUCACCAUUAAAAUAAGCAACGCAACAAGAAAAAUCUAUUUGAUUUCAAAACAAAAAAAUGCAAAAACACAAAAUCUAUUUUAUAUAUAAUUUUCACUUAGAAGAUAAAUGCAUAAAUCGUAUCGAAACGCUUAAAUCACAUACUAACCUAGACAAUGACAAAGAUAGAGUUGAAGACAAUGCAAAG